ensembl:snoRNA
AGCCUCAUUCUAGAUGGAAAUGGGCACUGUCAUUCAUGGUGUCCAGAGAUUGUUAACGCGGCUACACUGAGACACACAUUUUGCUACCAUCACAGCAAGUUUAUUGCUGUGGUGACAGUGAGACCCAUAACAGCA